rnacentral:rRNA from 1 species
CCUACGGGAGGCAGCAGUGGGGAAUAUUGCACAAUGGGGGAAACCCUGAUGCAGCGACGCCGCGUGAGUGAAGAAGUAAUUCGUUAUGUAAAGCUCUAUCAGCAGGGAAGAAAAUGACGGUACCUGAGUAAGAAGCCCCGGCUAACUACGUGCCAGCAGCCGCGGUAAUAAGUAGGGGGCAAGCGUUAUCCGGAUUUACUGGGUGUAAAGGGAGCGUAGACGGCAGUGCAAGUCUGGAGUGAAAGGCGGGGGCUCAACCCCCGGACUGCUCUGGAAACUGUACUGCUGGAGUGCAGGAGAGGUAAGUGGAAUUCCUAGUGUAGCGGUGAAAUGCGUAGAUAUUAGGAGGAACACCAGUGGCGAAGGCGGCUUACUGGACUGUAACUGACGUUGAGGCUCGAAAGCGUGGGGAGCAAACAGGAUUAGAUACCCCAGUAGUC